rnacentral:rRNA from 1 species
AUCGAACGCUGGCGGCAGGCCUAACACAUGCAAGUCGAGCGGAGCGGCGGACGGGUGAGUAAUGCCUAGGAAUCUGCCUGGUAGUGGGGGAUAACGUCCGGCAACGGGCGCUAAUACCGCAUACUACCAGAUGAGCCUCGGUCGGAUUAGCUGGUUGGUGGGGUAAAGGCCUUCGAAGGCGACGAUCCGUAACGGGUCUGAGAGGAUGAUCAGUCACACGGGAACUGAGGCACGGUCCAGACUCCUACGGGCGGCAGCAGGGGAGAAUAUUGGACAAUGGGCGAAAGCCUGAUACAGCCAUGCCGCGUGUGUGAAGAGGGUCUGCGGAUUGUAGAGCACUUAAAGUUGGGAGGCGUUACCAACAGAAUAAGCACCGGCUAACUUCGUGCCAGCAGCCGCGGUAAUAC